rnacentral:rRNA from 1 species
AUUGAACGCUGGCGGCAUGCCUUACACAUGCAAGUCGAACGGCAGCACGGGAGCAAUCCUGGUGGCGAGUGGCGAACGGGUGAGUAAAGUAUCGGAACGUGCCCAGUCGUGGGGGAUAACGUAGCGAAAGUUACGCUAAUACCGAAUACGAUCUAUGAAUGAAAGCGGGGGAUCGCAAGACCUCGCGCGAUUGGACCGCUCGAUAUCAGAUUAGGUAGUUGGUGGGGUAAAGGCUCACCAAGCCUACGAUCUGUAGCUGGUCUGCGAGGACGACCAGCCAAACUGGGACUGAGACACGGCCCAGACUACUACGGGAGGCAGCAGUGGGGAAUUUUGGACAAGGGGCGCAAGCCUGAUCCAGCCAUGCCGCGUGCAGGAUGAAGGCCUUCGGGUUGUAAACUGCUUUUGUACGGAACGAAAAGGUUUGGCCUAAUAAGCUGAGCUCAUGACGGUACCGUAAGAAUAAGCACCGGCUAACUACGUGCCAGCCGCCGCAGUAA